rnacentral:tRNA from 1 species
GCGGAUAUGGCGAAGCUGGCUAACGCACUUGACUGUGAAUCAAGCACUCGUGGGUUCAAGCCCCACUAUCCGCCCCA